rnacentral:rRNA from 1 species
CGACGCGCACGGUGAGUAACGCGUAUGUAAUCUACCUGUAACAGAGGGAUAACCCGGAGAAAUCCGGACUAAUACCUCAUAGCACAUAUUAUUCGCAUGAAUUUUAUGUUAAGAGACUCGGUUACAGAUGAACAUGCGUUCCAUUAGCUAGUUGGCGGGGUUACGGCCCACCAAGGCAACGAUGGAUAGGGGUUCUGAGAGGAAGGUCCCCCACACUGGUACUGAGACACGGACCAG